CAACUGAAUUGCAUUCAACAACCACAACAAAACUUUUGUUUAGGCUAAAUUCUACAGACUACUCUAAAACCUUUGUUUUUUCCCCUCAAAACUAUCAUUUAACUUUUAAUAAGUCUUCCAAAACUAUUACUGAAGUAAAAAAUUUAAACUUCAAAUGAAUGUUGUGGUGGCCGGCCAUUAUGGGUCAUGAGCACGCUGUCCAAGAAUCUAAUUUUCUAUCCAAAAUUUUAUAGGGUUUGUAUAACUUAAAUGGGUGGGGCUGACAGGUAAAGCGAGAUCCAAAAAUUAAUGAUGGUGUUUAUGACUAUUUCUAGUCUACAGUUAAUUAUAAUAAUACUCAUGAUUCGAAGGUUUCUUAAAGAAUUCACAGUUCAAGAAUAGUAUUGAAAUAUUUAUAUGACAGUUGAAUGGGUAAUUCUAAAGAACAGAAACAGGAAGUGAGAGAAGUAUACCUUAGCGUUGAAGUUGGCAUCAAGAAGGAUGUUGGAAGUCUUCAAAUCUCUAUGAAUAACUGCAGGGUGGCAAUGCUCGUGAAGAACUAUGAAAAGUGCAGAUGAUUAUUUUAUUUAUCAAAGGGGAAGAGAAUAAAAAGAAAGCAAGAGACAUGCCUUGCAACAUCGAGAGCAAUCUUCAUACGCAUGUGCCAAUUUAAGGCAGAACCACGAGAGGGCCCUGCAUCAUCAUUUUCAACUUACAACAAUAAAAUAUGCAUCACAUGGACAUAGCAACUCUUGUUUUAAUCUGGUAAAAAUAAAUAAAUAAAUGAUUUGGUUUAUUUAGUCCUAAUAUUUUAUCUUUUCUUCUGUUGAUGCUAAAAUUGAGAUUAAAGUACUUAAUAUCUCUUCGUUGUUUGAAAGUAAGAAAAGAAAAGAAUUACCAUGGAGUUGAGUUUCUAGAGAUCCAUUCUCCAUGAGCUCA